UACGUAGGGGGCAAGCGUUGUCCGGAAUCAUUGGGCGUAAAGAGCGUGUAGGCGGCCAGAUAAGUCCGCUGUGAAAACUCGAGGCUCAACUUCGAGCUGUCGGUGGAAACUAUUUGGCUAGAGUCCGGAAGAGGAGAGUGGAAUUCCUGGUGUAGCGGUGAAAUGCGCAGAUAUCAGGAAGAACACCCGUGGCUAAGGCGGUUCUCUAGUACGGUACUGACGCUGAGACGCGAAAGCGUGGGGAGCGAACAGG
rnacentral:rRNA from 1 species